UCCUGGCUCCAUACCACUCCAUGGCUUCUCAUUUCAGAAGUUAAGCAGGGUCAGACCGGGUUAAGACUUGGAUGGGUGACCAUCAGGGAUCUGCGGGUAAGGCUCGGAU
rnacentral:rRNA from 1 species